GUGACAAUCUGAUGGAGAGAACAGAGUUUAUCCAAGAAUGGUUAAGACUGGGCUUUGGCACUGCCCUGUCCGCAAGUGCUCUCUUUGAUCAUGCCGACACUAACAACGAUGGCAUCCUAAGUUCGAAUCCGGACUUCGGCCGCAUAUACACCUUCUUCGACCUAAACCAUGAUGGUCUUAUUAGCGAGCCGGAGUUCGUCGUCGCCUGGGCAACCCUGUCAGGGUAGGAGGCAACUGAACAGACUCAGCGGAGAACCUGCCUGCCCAUCAGUUACACGCUUUGGUGGAUCUUAGAAGACCAAUCAAACCCUUUCUAUUUGCAGAUGUAUGAUUAUUCAGUUUUUAUCUGAUUGCUGCGCAAACACGACUUCGGAGAAAGUGUUAAUUACUAAGACGGAAUGUCGAUCAAAUUCUAUGUUUUGGUUAAUAAACUGCAAUAAAGAAUAGCAUGGUAACAAUGAA